CUUCCCGCAUUUACGGGUUUUUUCUAAUUUAAUUAUAAUUUAAAUCCUGUUCUGUUCUAGUGUGAUAAGGUCCUUAGACAUUGUGAAGACUUACGUAAACCACAAUUUGUCAAAAGAUAGCGAAGAAAGGAUAGAGAUUCCAGUGAAAAUUGCCACUGCAGAAAGAAACCAGCUACAUAUGCACUUGGUUGGAUUCAGCAUGAGCUUACAGCAAAAAGCUUACAGAGAGAGAGAGAGAUGAUUUUGAGCUUUAUGCUGGGUUUUGAAACUGCAGGACUCCACAUUUUUUAUGUACAUUUUUAUGGCUAAAGCAGUUAGGGUAAGCUGAUAACUCUGUGUGCAUGUGCAUGAGCACAUGCACACAUCUGUCCUCAAAAAAGUGGAAAAAUCUUAACCCCCCUGUCCAAAGAAAUGACUCUCAGUUUUUUUUUCUCUACUUUUUAGUGAGUGACCAUGGAUCCAACAGCUCUGGGAGAGGGAGCACUGCACCCAUCUAACACCUCGAAAGCAGCAUAACUGGCAGAUUUGCCAUGUAAAGAAGGGAGGAAGAAUUCACUACAAGAGUGUUCAUCAGCACUGAAUUCUGCUGUAUCCCUUGAGGAUUUCUUCAGUCUGUUUCACUGGCAGAUUCUACAGAUCUGUAGAAAUAUUUUGAUUGCAGGGAGCUGGGUUUGCUUUUUUUUUUUUUUUUUUUUUAAUGUCUCUGAGAUGCUGCCUAAAGCUGCUUUUUGUAAUUCCUUCUUGCAGAAUAGUAUUAAGUUAAUGAAAACCAAUCCUCCUCCAUGUUUUUGCUCUGUGAAAAGCCUCUUAAUGGACAUGUCUGUCUAAAUCAAUUAAACAUUGUAACGAUCAAACAUUUGAGAGUGAUGCUUCCAUUUCUGAACUGGAGGUCAUUCCCCCUCACCCCAAUAUUGGAGAGAAAUGGGACAGAAAAUUCCCUGAUUCCUUCCUCAUCUGGCCAUCUCUACUUUUUUGGCAAAAGUGAUUAAAUGGCCUUGUUUUCAUUUCUAGCUGUUCAUUGUUUCAAUUACUACAAGAUCUAAUAUGCUUUUAGUUUUUUUUGGGGGGGGGGGGGGGAGGUGCAACUUCCUAUGCAGAGAUGCUUUACAAUCCUGAAGGUAUGACCUAAAUUUUUUGAAGACUGUAUUAAAUAAUAAAGAGAUUUGUUUCCUUUU